CCCGGGUGCAGUGGCAUUUGCCUGUAGUCCCAGCUACUCGGGAGGCUGGAGCGGGAGGGUCGCUGGAGCCCAGGAUUCCUGCGCUGUUGUGUGCUAUGCUGAGUGGGUGUUCACACUAAGUUCAGCAUCAAUAUGGUGACCUCCUGGGAGCAGGGACCACCACGUUGCCUAAGGAGGGUGAAGCUGCCCAGGUCAGAACAGAGCAGGUCAAGACUCUCAUGCUGAUCAGCAGUAGGAUCACACCUGUGAAUAGCCCUUGCAUUCCAGCUGGGGCAACAUAGUGAGACCCCAUCUCU
rnacentral:SRP_RNA from 1 species